GAUGAACGCUGGCGGCGUGCCUAAUACAUGCAAGUCGAGCGAACAGACGAGGAGCUUGCUCCUCUGACGUUAGCGGCGGACGGGUGAGUAACACGUGGAUAACCUACCUUUAAGACUGGGAUAACUUCGGGAAACCGGAGCUAAUACCGGAUAACAUGUUGAACCGCAUGGUUCAACAGUGAAAGACGGUUUUGCUGUCACUUAUAGAUGGAUCCGCGUCGCAUUAGCUAGUUGGUAAGGUAACGGCUUACCAAGGCAACGAUGCGUAGCCGACCUGAGAGGGUGAUCGGCCACACUGGAACUGAGACACGGUCCAGACUCCUACGGGAGGCAGCAGUAGGGAAUCUUCCGCAAUGGGCGAAAGCCUGACGGAGCAACGCCGCGUGAGUGAAGAAGGUCUUCGGAUCGUAAAACUCUGUUAUUAGGGAAGAACAAAUGUGUAAGUAACUAUGCACGUCUUGACGGUACCUAAUCAGAAAGCCACGGCUAACUACGUG
rnacentral:rRNA from 1 species